UAUUGCACAGUAGAACUUAAC
rnacentral:piRNA from 1 species